rnacentral:rRNA from 1 species
UUUUAAAAAUUAAAAAAAAAAAAAUUAAAUUUAUUUAAUAGAAUACAAAAAAAUGUAAAUUUUUUUUGAAUAAUUACUUUGAAUAAAUUUAGAAGUGACUUUUAAGGCAAAUUUAUUUUUUUAUUAAAUAAAAAAAAUAAAAUGUUUGAAUAAUUUAGCAUAGAAUAAUUGAAUAAGAUUUGAAAGAUAAAUAUUUUGGUAAUUAUAAUUUAAAUAAUGAUAAAUAGGAAUAGUUGGGGGGUAUUUUGUAUUGAAUAGUCAGAGGGUGAAAAUUCAAGGAUUUGUUCAAGACAAACAUCAGCGAAAGCAUUUACCAAAGAUAUUUCCAUUAAUCAAGAACGAAAGUUAGGGGGAUCGAAGAUGAUCAGAUACCGUCGUAGUCCUAACCAUAAACAAUACCAACCAAAGAUAAGAGGUUGAAACAAGAGAUAUAAAAAUUUGUUUUUUUUUUAUAUCAAGAAAACUCCCUUUUUGAAUUUUUGAGGGAAACCAUUGAGUAUUUGGGUUCUGGG